rnacentral:rRNA from 1 species
AUUGAACGCUGGCGGCAGGCCUAACACAUGCAAGUCGAGCGGAAACGAUGGAAGCUUGCUUCCAGGCGUCGAGCGGCGGACGGGUGAGUAAUGCAUAGGAAUCUGCCCGAUAGUGGGGGAUAACGUGGGGAAACUCACGCUAAUACCGCAUAUGUCCUACGGGAGAAAGCAGGGGAUCUUCGGACCUUGCGCUAUCGGAUGAGCCUAUGUCGGAUUAGCUGGUUGGUGAGGUAACGGCUCACCAAGGCGACGAUCCGUAGCUGGUCUGAGAGGAUGAUCAGCCACACUGGGACUGAGACACGGCCCAGACUCCUACGGGAGGCAGCAGUGGGGAAUAUUGGACAAUGGGGGAAACCCUGAUCCAGCCAUGCCGCGUGUGUGAAGAAGGCCUUCGGGUUGUAAAGCACUUUCAGCGAGGAAGAAGGCCUGAGGGCUAAUACCCUUCAGGAAGGACAUCACUCGCAGAAGAAGCACCGGCUAACUCCGUGCCAGCAGCCGCGGUAAUACGGAGGGUGCGAGCGUUAAUCGGAAUUACUGGGCGUAAAGCGCGCGUAGGUGGCUUGAUAAGCCGGUUGUGAAAGCCCCGGGCUCAACCUGGGAACGGCAUCCGGAACUGUCAGGCUAGAGUGCAGGAGAGGAAGGUAGAAUUCCCGGUGUAGCGGUGAAAUGCGUAGAGAUCGGGAGGAAUACCAGUGGCGAAGGCGGCCUUCUGGACUGACACUGACACUGAGGUGCGAAAGCGUGGGUAGCAAACAGG